GUGAGUUAACAAGGUCGUUUACAUGCACGUGAGUGCACGGAUAUCGGUUAAUUAUUCAAAUUACUGAAAAACACGGAGAAAACCGCAACCGCAUCGUCAUGUGUUUUUCUAAGAUGUAUGCAAACAGGGGAAAUAUCGCCAAACCAACAAUUAAUUUGACCAAAACCUCACAAUAUAUCAUCAUUUGUAUGCACAGAUUGGAUGCAUUGUGUGUUGUAAGCUUUUCGUGGCGCUAGAUGUCAGACAGAUGCAAAUGGCAAAUACAUACGAAAGUGUAAAACGUGUAUGGCGAACAUUUGUUUUUCUGUCAUUAUAGAUGCUAGUUUGGUGAAAGUACACACUGAGUGCCUCAAAUCAUUCAGAAGAGAUGCUGUUUUUAGGGCAGUUUAUUAAAGAAGACCUGACAUGGAUGACUUCCAAUGAGAAAAGACUGCUAAUACUUAUAUAAAUUCAUUACAGAAGGACCCUACCAGACUAUAUUUGAAUACGGCAUACCCAUGAAUUCUGGAACUGUUAUUCCUUAACCCAGUUUGGAGGAUCAGAGCUUGUCAACUAGUUAUAAAUAUGCUGAGGUGAUGUAUUGCAAAAUAGCCAACAUACAACAAUAUGGAUGACCCUCUGUCUGGUCAACAGGAGUUUAAAUAUGGACGGGACAGUUAUGUGGCAGCUCUUCCCUGGCUCAUUCACCUCUUGCCUUUCAUUUGUGAAAGGAAGAAAGAAGAAAGAGGGUCAAUGUGCAACUGAAGCUACG